AACUAAUUAAAACUUCCAUACAUAUUUUUAAUUUUUUCUUUGACAAAUUAUAACCCAUAUUAGCAGAAUUUAUAACUUAUUAUUUUGUAUUUUCGGAUUAGUUAGAAUCUCAGAGGGACAAACAACUUUUUUUUUAGUGACGUCUCCCCCAACCCACCACACCACAGAUGCUUGGCCUCUCUUUUUCUUCUCUUCCGCCGAUUCUGCAGAAAGAGGUAACUUAGAGAGUGUGAUGCUUUGCUUUUGAUCCAUGGCGGCCAUUGAAGAGACUGAGUUUUGAAAGCAACAAACAAGGUGUGAUUCGAUUCGAUUCGAUUGUCAUCUACUGGUACUGGAAGAAGAAGGUCCCGGUGUUGAGUGAAGAAUCUGGAAGCAUCCUUCAGUGAUAUUUGCUUACUGUCUAUCUACUGAGAUCUUCAGGCAUCUACAAAACCGCUGCUGCUUGCAGCUGAGCAAGUUCUUCCUCCAUUCUCCUUCUACA